rnacentral:lncRNA from 1 species
AUUAAUAUGUAAAUAUUUAAGUCAAUAAAUUUAAUCAUAAUGUUUUUUUGCAUUUUCUCUGUUUUUAGUGUUUAAAAUAAGUAAAUAAUUCUACAAAGGUUGAUUUGGAAUAGUAAACGUAGUCACCUUGAAAAGGCUACUAUAGGUUUCAUGUUACUAAUAAAAGUAGUUGUACGUUAUUUUCAUAAUUUGUUUUGUUUAUCAUAACUUUAACCCAUCUUAGUUUAUAUAAACUGUCAUUUUCUUUAUUUUUAUUUUUAUGGUCAUUUCUUUUAAACAAAAAUAUUAAGAUAUCAAUCAAUUAUAUUUUAGAAUUAUAGAUUUAGAAAAACUAAAAUAUCAAUAUUUUACAAUUUAAAUCUAUAAAUUUAAUCAUAAUGUUUUUUGCAUUUUCUCCGUUUUUAGUCUUUAAAACAUAUAUUUAACUUUUUUAAAAAAAAGUUUAAAAUAAGUAAAUAAUUUUACAAAGGUUGGUUUGGAAUAGUAAACAUAGUCACCUUGAGAAGGCUACUAUAGGUUUCAUGUUACUAUUAAAAGUAGUUGUACGUUAUUUUCACAAUUUGUUUUGUUUNNNNNNNNNNNNNNUUUAAAAAACUCAAAUGAUCAAUACGUAUAAUUAAUCAACAAAUUCUAAUUUAAUGUUUUUUGCAUUUUCGUUUUUUGUUUAACAUUUAAUUGUUAAAAAAUGUAAAAUAAUAAAUAGUCUACAAAGGUUGAUUGGAAUAGUAACAUAGUCACACUGAGAAGGCUACUAUAGUUCAUGUUACUAUAAAAGUAGUUGUACGUUAUUUGCACAAUUGUAUUUGUUUUUCAUAACUUUAAACCGCAUCUUAGUUUAUAUAAACUGUCAUUUUCUGUUGUUUCUUUUUGUAUGAUCACCUGUUUAAACAACAAUUAUGAUUAUCAAUUAAAUUAUAUAUUAGAAUAUAGAUUUUGAAAAACUCAAAUAUCAAUACAUUACAAUUUAAUCAAUAAAUUUAACAUUAUAAUUUUGCAUUUUCUCUGUUUUUGUGUUUAAAAACAUUUACAUUAACUUCUUUUUUAAAAAAGUUUAAAAUAAGUAAAUAAUUCUACCAAGCGUGAUUUGGAAUAGUAAACCAUAGUCACCUUGAGAGGCUACUAUAAUUUCAUGUUACUAAUAAAAGUAGUUGUACGUUAUUUUCACAAUUUGUUUGUUUCUAAUAACUUAACCCAUCUUAGUUUAAUAAACUGCCAUUUCUUAUUCUUUUUCUAUGGUCAUUUUUUUAAAACAACAUAUUAUGAUAUCAAAAAAAUUUAUAUUUAAGAAUUUAGAUUUAAAAAAACUCAAUAUUAAUACGAAAAUAUUAAGUCAAUAAAUUAUCAUAAUGUGUUUUUUUGCAUUUUCUCUGUUUUUAGUGUUUAAAAUAAAUAAUUCUGACAAAGAGUUGAUUUGAAUAGUAAACAUGUCACCUUUUGUAGAAAGGCUACUAUAUGGUUUCAUGUUAUAAUGAAAAAGUAGUUGUACGUUAUUUUUCACAAUUUGUUUUGUUUUUCAUACUUAACCCAUUUAGUUUAUAUAACUGUCUUCUUGUCUUUAUUUCUUUUGUCUUUUAUGAUAUCUUUUUUAAAAACAAACAUAAUUAUAGAUAUCAGAUAAUUUAUAUUUUAGAUUUUAGAUUUAGAAAAACUCAAUAUCAAUUUUAACAAUUUAAGUCUAUAAAAUUUAUUUCAUAAUGUUUUUUUGGCACAUUUUUAUCUGUUUUUAGGUCUUUCUUUUCAAAAACAUAUAUGUUAACUUUUUUUAAAAAAAAAGUUUAAAAAAUAAAGUAAAUAAUUUUACAAAGGUUGUUUGGAAUAGUAAACAUAGUCACCUUGAGAAGGCUACUAUAGGUUUCAUGUUACUAAUAAAAGUAGUUGUACGUUAUUAUCACAAUUUGUUUUGUUUUUCAUAACUUUAACCCAUCUUAGCUUAUAUAACUGUCAUUUUCUUUAUUUCUUUUUUAUGGUCAUUUUUUUUAAAACAACAUAUUAUGAUAUCAAUAAAUUUUAUUUAAGAAUUUUAUUUGAAAAACUCAAAUAUCAUACUUACAAUUUAUCCAAACAUAAUUUAAUCCAAUUUUUUGCAUUUUUCAUUUCUUGUUGUUUAGUUUUAAAACAGUACAUUUACUUCUUGUUUUUUAAAAAAGUUUAAAAUAACGAUAAAUAAUUUACAAGUUGGACUUUUGGAAUAGUUAAACAUACCGUCAACUUGAGAAGGCUACUAUAGUUUCAUGUUCAAUAAAAGUAGCAUUGUUGUACUGUUAUUUUCAUCAAUUGUGUUUUGUUUCUAUAUAACUUUAACCCCAUUUCUUAGUUUUAUAUAAACUGUACAUUUUUCUUUAUUUCCAUUAUUUAUGGUCAUUUCUUUAAAACAAAUAUUAAUAUUCAGAUCAAUUGAUAUUUAAAUUACUAGAUUUUGAAAAAAAAACUCAAUAUUCCCAUACGUUACCAUAUAAAGUCAAAAAAUUUAAUUAUAAUUGUUUUUUGCAUUUUCUCUCGUUUUGGUUUUGAAACAUAUAUUUAACUUUUUUUUAUAAAAUGUUUAAAAAUAAUAAGUAAAUAAUUCUAAAAACAAAGGUUGAUUAUUGGAAAUAAUAGUAAACUAGCCUUGAGAAGGCUCAUUAUAGUUUUCAUUUACUAAUAAAAGUGUUGCUACGUUAUUUUCGACAAUUCUGUUUUGUUUUUCAUAACUUUAACCCAUCUCUAGUUUAUAAUCAAACGUCUUUUCUUUAUUUCUUUUGUUAUUGGGCAUUGACUUUUAAAAUAAAAACAUGAUUAGAUAUCAAUAAUAUUAUUUUAGAAUAUAUGAUUUGAAAAACUCAGAAUAUCAAUACUAUUACAUUUAAAAGUCAAAAAUUUAUUAUAUAUGUUUUGCCAAUUUUCUCUGUUUUAGUGUUUGAAAACAUUAUAUUUUAAUUCUUCUUUUAAAUAAGUUUAAAUAAGUAAAUAAUUCUACACAGUUUGAUUUGGGAUAGUAAACAUAGUCACCUUGAGAAGGCUUUAUAGUUUCAUGUUACUAAUAAAAGUAGUGUACGGUUAUUUUCACAAAUUUGUUUUGUUUCUAUACAAACUUUAACCCAUCUUAGUUUAAAUAAACUGUCAUUUUCUGUUAUUUUCUUUUUUUGAUUUCAAAAUUUUUUAAAACAACCAUAGUAUGAUAUCAAUUAAUGUAAUUGUAAGAAUUUAUAUGUUAAAAAACUCAAUAUCAUUACUUACUAAAUUUAGUCAAUUAAAUUUAAUCCAUAUGUUUUUUUGCAUUUUCUCUGUUUUAUUAUGUAACACUCCUAGUUUAACAUUUAAUAAGUUAAAAUAAGUUAUACAAGAUGGUUCUGGAAUAUAACAUAGUCACCUUGAGAAGGUACUAUAGGUUUCAUUUACUCAAUAAAAGUAGUUGUACGUAUUUUCAAAGUGUUGUUUUAUUUUUCAUAACUUUAACCCACUUUAGUUUAUAUAAACUGUCAUUUUUCUUUAUUUUAUUUUAUGUCAUUCUUUGAAACAAAAUAUUAAAUAAUCAAUCAAUUAUAUUUUAGAAAUAUAAUUUUGAAAAACUCAAAUAUCUAAACUUACAAUUAAAUGUCAAUAAAUUUAACAUAAUGUUUUGUGUGCAUAUUCUCUUAUUUUUACGUUUUGAACAUAUAUUUAUUUUUUUUUAAAAUGUUUUUAAAAUAAAGUAAAUAACUACAAAGCGAUUGGAUAGUAAACAUAGUCACCUUGAGAAGGUAUUCUAGGUUCCAUGUUACUAAUUAAAAGUGUUAGUACAUAUUUUCACAAUUUGUUUUUUUCUAAUAACUCUUACCAUCUUGUUAUAUAAUAACUGUCAUUCUUUAUUUCUUUUUUCUUUUUCUAUGGUCAUUUUUUUUAAAACAUAUUUAUGAUAUCAUAAGUGUAUAUUUAAAGAAUUUUUAGAUUUUAAAAAAAAACUCAUCAAAUUAUAUUACGUAAAUUAUUUAAGUCAAUAAAUUUUAAUCAUAAUGUUUUUCAAUUUGACGUCUGUUUUUAGGUUUAAAAUAAGUAAAUAAUUCUGACAAAGAUUGAUUUUGAAUAGUUAAACAUAUACCUUGAAGGGCUACUAUAGUUUCAUGUUACGUAAUUAAAAGUAGUGUACUUAAUGUUUUCCAAUUUUAUUUUGUAUUUUCAUAACAUUUAACCCCAUCUUAGCUUAUAUAAACUGUCAUUUUCUUUGUUUUCUUUUUUUUAUGAUCAUUUUUUUAAAACAACAUAUUAUAGAUAUCAGAUAAAUUAUAUAUUAGAAUUAUAGAUUUUGAAAAAACUUAAAAUAAUCAAUACAUUUACAAUUAAUCAAUUAAUUAUAUAUUAUAUUUUUUGCCAUUUUCUUCAUGUUUUUUUUUUUAGUGUUUUAAAAAUUUACAUUUAACUUUUCUUUUCUUAAAAAAAAGUUUUAAAAUAAGUAAAAUAAUUCUACAAGGGCUGUUUUGGAAGUAAACAUAGUCACCUUGAGAUGCCCGACUAUAAGUUUCAUGUUACUAAUUAAAUAUUUAUUUUUAUUGUACGUUAUUUCCAACAAUUGUUCUUUGUUUUCCUAAUGAACUUAACCCAUCUUAGUUUUAAAUAAACUGCCAUUUUCUUAUUUCGUUUUCUAUGGUCAUUUUUUAUUUUUUUAACAACAUAUUAUGAUUCAAAUAAGUAUAUAUUUAAGAAUCUUUAGGAAUUUAAAAAAACUCAAUAUUAAUACGUAAUAUUUUUAAGUCAAUAAAUUAAUCAUAAUUUUUGCAUUUUUCUCUGUUUUAGUGUUUAAAAAUAAGUAAAAUUUAAUUCUACAAAAGGUUAUUUUUUGAAAUAUAAACAUAUCACCUUGAAAGGCUUUACUAUAGUUUUCAUGUUACUAAUCAAAAAUAGUUGUACGUUUAUUUCACAAUUUGUUUUGUGUUUUCAUAAAAACUUUAACCAUCUUAGCUUUAUUAAAGAACUGUCAUGUUCUUUAUUUCUUUUUUAUGAUAUCUUUUAAACAACCAAUUGAUAUCAAUAAUUAUAUUUUAGCAAUUUUUUAGAUUUAGAAGGAAACUCAAAUGAUCAAUAUUUUACAAAUUUAAGUCUAUAAAUUAAAUCAUAAUGUUUUUUGCAUUUUUUCUGUCUUUUAGUCUUUAAACAUAUAAUUUAUACUUUUUUUAAAAAAAGGUUAAAGCAUAAGUAAUAAUUUUACAAAGGUGGUUGGAAGUAAACAUAGUCACCUUGAGAAGCUACUAUAGGUUUCAUACCACGUGUUCCUAAGAAAUAGUUGUACGUUAUUUUCAAUAAUUUGUUUGUUUUUCAUUAACUUUAAACCCAUCUUAGUUUACUAUAAACUGUCAUUAUCUUUAUUUCUGAUUUAUGUCAUUUCUUAUAAAAACAAAAAUAUUAAGAUAUUCAAUCACAUUAUUAUUUUAGAAUUAUAGAUUUGAAAAAAAACUCAAAUUCAAACGUACACAUUAAAGGUCAUAAAUUUAAAGUAUUAAAUGUUUUUUGCAUUUUCUCUUGUUUUAGUGUUUUGGAACAUAUAUUAACUUUUUUUAAAAAUGUUUAAAAUAAGUUAAAUAAUUCUACAAAAGUUUGUGAGUAUGGAAUAGUAAACAUAUCACCUGGGAAAGCUAUUAUAGGUUCAUUUGACUAAAAAUAUUGUACGUAUUCACAAUUUGGUUAGUAUUUUUCAGAACUUUAUAACCCAUCUUAAGCUUAUAUAAACUUCAUUUUCUUUAUUAUUUUUUUAUGAUUCACUUUUUUAAAACAACAUAUUAUGAUAUCAAUAAAUUAAUUUUAGAAUUUUAAUGUUAGAAAAACACAAAUAUCAAUAUUUUUAUAAUUUUAAGGUCUUAAAUUAUUAUCAAUAACGUUUUUUUUUGCAUUUUCUCUGUUUAGUCUUUAAAACUUAUAUUAACUUUUUUUUAAAAAAAGGUUAAAAUAAUAAUAAUUUUACAAAGUUGGUUUCGGAAUAUAAACAAUUUACCUUGAGAAGCUACUAAGGUUUCAUGUUACUAAUAAAAGUAGUUGUACGUAUUUCACAAUUUGUUUUUAGAUUUUUUCAUAAACUUUAACCCAAUCUUAGUUAUCAUAAACCAUCUCAUUUCUUUAUUUCUUUGUAUGAUCACUUUUUUAAACAAAAAAACUAUUAUAUGAUACAAUAUAUUAUAUAUUAAAAUUAUAGUUUUGAAAAAAACUCAAAUAUCAAACAUUACAAUUAAUUCAAUAAAUUUAAUCAUAUUUUAUUUUGCAUUUUCUCUGUUAUGUUUAAAACUAUAAUUAAUUUCUUUUUUAAAAAAUUUAAAAUAAUAAUGAAGUUUCUACCCAGCUUGAUUUGGAAUAGUAAACAUAGUCACCUUGGAGGAAGGUCUAUAAUUCUUCGUUAUAAUAAAAGUAGUUGUACGUAUUUCACAAUUUUUUUGUUUCUAACUAACUUUAACCCAUUCUUAGUUUAUAAAACUGCAUUUUCCUUUAUUUCUUUUUCUAUGUCAUUUUUUAAAACAACAAUUAUGAUAUCAAAAGUAUAUUUAAGAAUUUUAGAUUUAAAAAAACACUCAAAUAUUAAUACGUAAAUAUUAAGUCAUAAAAUUUAAUCAUAAUUUGUUUUUUGCAUUUUUCUCUUUUUAGUUGUUUAAAAUAAUAAAAUAUUCUACUAAAAGUGAUUUGAAUCAUAAAACAUAGUCACCUUGAGAGGGACUACUAUAGGUUUCAUGUACUAAUAAAAUAGUUGUACUUAUUUCAUAAUUGUUUUUUUUUUCCAUAACUUUAACCCAUCUCUAUUUAUAUAACUGUCAUAUUCUUUAUUGUUAUUUUUAUGUCAUUUCUUUAAAACAAAAUAUUAAAAUAUCAAUAAAUUAUAUUUCUAGAAUUAUAAUUUUGAAAAACUCAAAAUCAAUACAUGUACAAUUAAAUCAAUAAUUUAAUUAUAAUGUUUUUUGCAUUUUCUCUUUAUUUUUAGUGUUUGAAACAAUAUUACUUUUUUAAAAUGUUUUAAAAUAAGGUAAUAAUUUCUACAAGUUAUGUGAAUAGCACAUAGUCACCUUGAGAAGCUAUUAUAGGUUUCAUUUACUAAUAAAAAGUAGUUGUACGUUAUUUUCACAAUUGUGUUUUGUUUUCUAUAACUUAACCCACUCUGUUAAUAAACUGUAUUUCUUUAUUUCUUUUUUAUGGUCAUUUUUUUAAAAAACAUAUUAUAAUCAAUAAUAAUUUUAAGAAUUUUAGAUUUAGACAACCUCAAACUUCAAACUACAAUAUUUUAUCAAUUUAGUCUUAAUUUAAUCAUUAACUUUGUUUUCUGUUUUGAACAAUAUUUACUGUUUUAAAUGUUUAAAAUAAGUAAUAAUUCUACAAAAGUAUGAUUUGAUAUUAAACCAUAGUCACCUUGAGAAGGCACUAUAGAUUCAUGUUACUAAUAAAUAGUUGUACGUUAUUUUUCAAAUUUUGAUUAUGUUUUUCAUAACUUUAACCCAUCUUAGCUUAUAUAAAACUUGUCAUUUCUGUUUCUUUUUUUAUGGAUCUUCUUUUAAAACAAAAUAUUAUGAUAUCCAAUAAUUAGUUUUAGAAUUAUAGAUUUGGAAAAACUUCAAAUAUCAAUACUUAAAUUAAAUCAAUAAAUUUAAUCAUAAUUUUUUUGCAUUUCUCCAUGUUUAGUGUUUAAACAUUUCAUUUAACUUCUUUUUUAAAAAAAAGGUUAAAAUAAGAAAAUAAAUUCUACCAAGCUUGGUUUGGAAUAGUAAACAUAGUUCACCCUUGAGAUGAGCUACUAUAAGUUUCAUUGUACUAAUAAAUAGUUGUACGUUAUUUUCACAAUUUGUUUCUGUUUCUAAUAACUUUAACCCAUCUUAGUUUAAAUAAAACUGCCAUUUUCUUUAUUUCUUUUUCUAUGGUUCAUUUUUUUUUAAAAAUAACAUUUUGAUAUCAAUAAGUUAUUAUUUAAGAAUUUUAGAUUUAAAAAAACUCAAAUAUUAAUACGUAAAUAUUUAAGUCAAAUAAAUUUAUCAUAAUGUUUUUUGUGCAUUUUCUCUGUUAUCAGUGUUUAAAAAUAAGAAUAAUUCUACAAGAUUGAUUUGGCAUAGUAAACAUAGCACCUUGAGAAGGCUACUAUAGGUUUUCAUUGUUAUCUACAUUAAAAGUGAUUGUACUUAUUUCAAAAUUGUUUGUUUUUCAUACUUUAACCACUUAUUAUAUAAACUGUCCAUUUUUCUUAUUUCUUUUUUAUGAUCAUCUUUUUUUAAACAACAUAUUUAUAUAAUCAAUAAUUUAUAUUUAGAAUUUUUAGAUUUAGAAAACUCAAAUAUCAAUAUUUUACAAUUUAUCUAUAAAUUUAUCAUAAGUUUUUUGCAUUUUUCUGUUUUAGUCUUUUAGAACAUAUAUAUUAACUUUUUUUUAAAAAAGUUUUAAAAAUAAGUAAAUAAUUUUACAAAAGGUUGGUUUGAAUAGAAACAUAUUCACCUUUGAGAGGCAUACAUAGGUUUUUCAUGUUACUAAUAAAAGUAGCUUGUACGUUAUUUUAAUUUGUUUUGUUUUCAUAACUUUACCCAUCUUAGCUUAUAUAACUGUCAUUUUCUUUAUUUCUUUUUUAUUGUCAUUUUUUAAAACAAAUAUUAAUGUAUCAAUAAUUUAUAUUUGAAAUUUAUAGAUUAAAUCAAAUCUCAAAUUACGUUACAUUUAAGUCAAUAAUUUGAAUCCUAAUGUUUUUGUUGCAUUGUCUCAUGUUUUUAGUGUUUAAACAUAAUUAACUUUUUUUUAAAAAUGUUUUAAAUAAGUAAAUAAAUUUUAACAAGGUUGAUUGGAAUAGUAAACAUAGUCACCUUGAGAAGGUACAUAGGUUCAUUUACUAAUAAAGUAGUUGUACGUUAUUUUUCACAAUUUUGUUUUGUUUUUCAUAACUUAACCCCAUCUUAGGGCUUUAAUAAACUGCAUUUUCUUUAUUUCUUUUUUUAUGAUCUACUUUUUUAAAACAACACUAAUGUAGUGAUAUCAUAAAUUAUAUAUUUUAGAAUAUAGAUUUGAAAAACUCAAAUCAAUUCAUUCUACAUUUAAAUCUAUAAAUUUAAUCAAAUUGUUUUUUGCAUUUUUCCUCGUUUUUAGUUUUUUAAACAUUAAUUUAUCUUUUUUUAAAAUAGUUUAAAAUAGUAAUUAAUUCUACCAAGUUUUAAUUGGAAUAGUAAACAUAGUACACUUGAGAGGCUUAUAAGGUUCAUGUUACUAUAAUAAUUGUUGUACGUUAUUUUCACUAAUUUUUGUGUUUUAUAACUUUAAGCCAUCUUAGUUUAUAUAAACUGUUUCUUUUCUUAUUUCUAUUUUUAUUGCAUUUCUUUAAACUUUGGGAAGAUUUUCACGAGGAGCAUGAACAUAGUGGACUUCCUUUCUAGAGCAACACUGUGAGAACCACCACCAUAUUCACCUAAAACCUGAAGGUGAUAGGUAGGGUUCUCUCACUUAUAAAUGCUCAAGUCUCCACAUUACAACCAAUGUACUAUUAUUCCACACUACUCACCACUUGACACAUUCGCAAUACUCCCCCUCAAGUGCGAGUCCCACAAAUGCCCCCCUCAAGUGAAGCCGCACGGAACUUUCUUAUUCAACCCUCUAGCGCCGUUACACUCUUAACGGAACGUUUCUUAUUCACCUCCUGCGCCGUUUUUGACUUUCGAACAAGAACCUGUCCCUUUCUGAAACCAAAGUGCUCUAUACCAUUUGUGGGGAAAAUUUUCACGUAGGGAGCAUAACAUAUGGGACUUCCUUUCUAGAGCAACACUUGUGAGCAGACACACCACAUACUUCACCUAAAACCUUAAGUAUAUGAGUGGGUUUCCUCUCACUUAUAAUAUGCUUCAGUCUCCAAACAUUACAACCAAUGUGGGACUAUUAUUCCACACUACCUCACACUUUGACACAUUCAUCAAUAAAACAACAUAUAAUAUCAAUCAAUUUUAUAUUUAGAAUUAUAACUUUUGAACAACACAAAUUUCAAACGUACAAUUAAAGUCAAUAAAUUUAAUUAUAAUGUUUUUUGCUUUCUCUGUUUUAGUGUUUGAAACAUAUUUAACUUUUUUUAAAAAGUUUAAAAUAAGUAAAUAAUUCUACAAAUGGUUGAUUUGAAUAGUAAACCAUAUCACGUUGAGAAGGCUACUAAGGUUAAUGUACUAAUUAAAAGUAGUUGUACUUAUUUUAACAAUUUGUUUUUGUUUCAUAACUUUAAACCCAUCUUAGUUUUAUAUAAACUUCAUUUUUCUUUAUUUCUUUUUUAUAUCACUUUUAAACAACAUAUUAUGCAUAUCAAUUUAAAUAUAUAUUUAAGAUUAGAUUUAAAAAAACUCAAAUAUCAAUACUUACAAUUUAAUCAAAUAAAUAAUCAUUAAUGUUUUUUUGCAUUGUCUCGCUUUUAUUAUUUAAAAAUAUAAUUUAACAUUUAUUUAAAAAAAGUUUAAUAAGUAAACCAAUUUUACAAAGGUUUCGUUUGGAAUCAUAAACAUAGUCACCUUGAGAAGGCUACUUUAAGUGUCCUGUAACUGAUAAAAGUAGUUGUACGUUAUUUUCACCAAUUUGUUUUGUUUUCAAACUUAACCCAUCUAGUGUAUAUAAACUGUCAAUCUUCUUUAUUCUUUUUUUAUGUGAUAUUCUUUUUUAAAACAACAUAUUAGUAAUCAAUAAAUCAUAUUUUAGAAUUUUAGAUUUAGAAAAACUCCAAAAAAAAAUUAUCAAUAUUUAUUAAUUUAAGUCCAAAAUUUAAUCAAACGUUUUUGCCAUUUCUCUGUUUGAUCUUUAAAACAUAAUUUAACUUUUUUUUUAAAAAAGUUUAAAAUAGUAAAUAAUUUAACAAAGGCUGGUUUGAAUAUUAAACAUAUUUACCUUAGAAGGCUACUAUAGGUUCAUUACUAAUAAAAGUAGUUUACUUAUUUUCAUAAUUGUUUUGUUUUUUCAUAACUUUAAACCCAUCUAGUUAUAUAAACUGUCAUUUCUUUAUUUCAUUUUUAUGUCAUUUUUUAAACAAAACUCAUUAAGAAUCAAUCAAUUAUUGUUUAAAAUUUAUAGAUUUUGAGAAAACUCAAAUUCAAUACGUUAAAAUAAAGUCAAUAAAUUUAAUUAUAAUGUUUUUGCAUUUUCUCCCAUUUUUAGUGUUGAAACAUACUAUUUAAUUUUUUUUAAAAAAGUUUAAAAUAAGGAAAUAAUUCACAAAUGUUAUUUGGAAUAGUUAACAUAGUCACCUUGAAAGGCUAUUUAGUUUCAUGUACGAAUGAAAGUAGUUGUACAUUAUUUUCACAAUUUGUUUUGUUUCUAAUAACUUUAACCCAUCUUAGUUUUAUAUUAAAACUGUCAUUUUCUUUAUUUCUUUUCUAUGGUCGUUUUUUUAAAACACAUAUUAUGAUAUCAAUAUUAUAUUUAAGAAUUUUUAGAUUUAAAAUACUCAAUAUUAAUACUCGUAAAAUUAUUUAAUCAAUAAAUCUUAAUCAUAAGUUUUUUUGCAUUUUCUCGAUUUUUAGUGUUUUAAAAUAAGUAAAUAAUUCUACAAAGGUUGAUUUGAAGAGUAAACAUAUCACCUUUUGAAAGGGCUACUAUAGUUCAUGUUACUAAUUAAAAAGUAGUUUACGUUUAUUUUUCAUAAUUUGUUUGUUUUCUAACUUUAACCCAUAUUAGUUUAUAUAACACUGUCCAUUUUCGUUAUUAUAUUUUUAUGGUCAUUUACUUAAAAAAACUAAUUAAAGAUAUCAAUAAAUUUAUAUUUUAGAAUUAUAGAUUUUGAAAAAACGAUCAAAUAUCAAUACGAUUACAAUAAUCAAUAAAAUUUAACUAAAUUUUAUUUUUGCGAUUUUCUCUGUUUAGUGUUAAAACAUAUAACUUUUUUUUUAAAAUUUUUAAAAUAAAGUAAAUUAAAAUUCUACCAAAGUUGAUUGGAAUAGUAAACAUAGCACCUUGAGAAGCUUACUUUAGGUUUCUUGUUACUGAUAAAAUAUUUGUACGUUAUAUUUCACAAAUUUGUUUUGUUUUUCAUAACUUAAAACCAUCUUAGUUAAUCAAACUGUCAUUUUCUUUAUUUUUUUUUUUAGGUAUCUUUAUAAAAACAACAUAUUAUUGAUGAUCAGAUAAAUUAUCAUUUUCAGAAUUUUAGAUUUAGAAAAACUCAAUAUCAAGAUUUACAAUUUAAAAUCUAUAAAUUUAAUCAUAAUGUUUUGCAUUCUCUGUUUUUAGUUCUUUUAAAACAAUAUUUAACCUUUUUAAAAAAAGUUUCAAAAUAAGUAAAAUAAUUUCUACAAAGGUUGAUUUGCGAAUAGUAAAACAUAUCACCUUGAGAAGCACUAUGUUUUCAUUCUGUUUUUAGUGUUUAAAAUAAGUAAAUAAUUCUACAAAGGUUGAUUUGGAAUAGUAAACAUAGUCACCUUGAAAAGGCUACUAUAGGUUUCAUGUUACUAAUAAAAGUAGUUGUACGUUAUUUUCAUAAUUUGUUUUGUUUUUCAUAACUUUAACCCAUCUUAGUUUAUAUAAACUGACAUUUUCUUUAUUUCUUUUUUUAUGAUCACUUUUUUAAAACAACAUAUUAUGAUAUCAAUAAAUUAUAUUUAAGAAUUUUAGAUUUAAAAAAACUCAAAUAUCAAUACGUUACAAUUUAAGUCAAUAAAUUUAAUCAUAAUGUUUUUUUUGCAUUUUCUCUGUUUUUAUUAUUUAAAACAUAUAUU